AUUGAACGCUGGCGGCAGGCCUAACACAUGCAAGUCGAGCGGAUGAAGGGAGCUUGCUCCUGGAUUCAGCGGCGGACGGGUGAGUAAUGCCUAGGAAUCUGCCUGUUAGUUUUUUAUAACGUCCUGAAACGGGCGCUAAUACCCCAUACGUCCUUAGGGCGUAAGUGUGGGAUCUUCGGACCUCACGCUAUCAGAUGAGCCUAGGUCGGAUUAUCUAGUUGGUGGGGUAAAGGCCUACCAAGGCGACGAUCCGUAACUGGUCUGAGAGGAUGAUCAGUCACACUGGAACGGAGACACGGUCCAGACUCCUACGGGAGGCAGCAGUGGGGAAUAUUGGACAAUGGGCGAAAGCCUGAUCCAGCCAUGCCGCGUGUGUGAAGAAGGUCUUCGGAUUGUAAAGCACUUUAAGUGGGGAGGAAGGGAAGUAAGUUAAUACCUUGCUGUUUUGACGUUACCAAAAGAAUAAGCACCGGCUAACUUCGUG
rnacentral:rRNA from 1 species